UGGUGCCGUAACUUCGGGAGAAGGCACGCUGAUAUGUAGGUGAAGCGACUUGCUCGUGGAGCUGAAAUCAGUCGAAGAUACCAGCUGGCUGCAACUGUUUAUUAAAAACACAGCACUGUGCAAACACGAAAGUGGACGUAUACGGUGUGACGCCUGCCCGGUGCCGGAAGGUUAAUUGAUGGGGUUAGCGGUAACGCGAAGCUCUUGAUCGAAGCCCCGGUAAACGGCGGCCGUAACUAUAACGGUCCUAAGGUAGCGAAAUUCCUUGUCGGGUAAGUUCCGACCUGCACGAAUGGCGUAAUGAUGGCCAGGCUGUCUCCACCCGAGACUCAGUGAAAUUGAACUCGCUGUGAAGAUGCAGUGUACCCGCGGCAAGACGGAAAGACCCCGUGAACCUUUACUAUAGCUUGACACUGAACAUUGAGCCUUGAUGUGUAGGAUAGGUGGGAGGCUUUGAAGUGUGGACGCCAGUCUGCAUGGAGCCGACCUUGAAAUACCACCCUUUAAUGUUUGAUGUUCUAACGUUGGCCCCUAAUCGGGGUUGCGGACAGUGUCUGGUGGGUAGUUUGACUGGGGCGGUCUCCUCCUAAAGAGUAACGGAGGAGCACGAAGGUUGGCUAAUCCUGGUCGGACAUCAGGAGGUUAGUGCAAUGGCAUAAGCCAGCUUGACUGCGAGCGUGACGGCGCGAGCAGGUGCGAAAGCAGGUCAUAGUGAUCCGGUGGUUCUGAAUGGAAGGGCCAUCGCUCAACGGAUAAAAGGUACUCCGGGGAUAACAGGCUGAUACCGCCCAAGAGUUCAUAUCGACGGCGGUGUUUGGCACCUCGAUGUCGGCUCAUCACAUCCUGGGGCUGAAGUAGGUCCCAAGGGUAUGGCUGUUCGCCAUUUAAAGUGGUACGCGAGCUGGGUUUAGAACGUCGUGAGACAGUUCGGUCCCUAUCUGCCGUGGGCGCUGGAGAACUGAGGGGGGCUGCUCCUAGUACGAGAGGACCGGAGUGGACGCAUCACUGGUGUUCGGGUUGUCAUGCCAAUGGCACUGCCCGGUAGCUAAAUGCGGAAGAGAUAAGUGCUGAAAGCAUCUAAGCACGAAACUUGCCCCGAGAUGAGUUCUCCCUGAGACUUAGAGUCUCCUGAAGGAACGUUGAAGACGACGACGUUGAUAGGCCGGGUGUGUAAGCGCAGCGAUGCGUUGAGCUAACCGGUACUAAUGAACCGUGAGGCUUAACCUU
rnacentral:rRNA from 1 species